GGGAACAAGGGGGGAAUAAGUCCUUGUUUCCCCCUUUGUUCCCAAACGCAAUGUUUGGUUCCCGAAAACAGUAGUUCCCGAAAAUCUGGAACUAGCUGGUAUAAGGCUGGAAUUGAUGUUCCACCCAUUUCCUGGAACAAGCUUGUUCCUUAAUGAGAACAAAAUUAAUUAAAAUCUAAAUUUAAUUUUAAUGGCAGUAAAUUAUUAAUUAAUCUAAUUAAUAUAUUUAAAUUAUUAUUUAUUACUUUAAUAAUUAAAUAAUUUAAAUAAUUUAUUAUUUAUAAUUAAAUAUUAAUAAUUAGAUAAUUAUUAUUAUUAAUUUAUUAUUUAUAAUUAAUUAUAAAUAAUUAAUAAUAUUCAUUAUUUUUUUAUUAAUAAUUAUUAUUUAUUCUUAAUGACAAUCGAUAUUAUUAUUAAUUUAUUAUUUAUAAUUAAUUCUUAAUAAUUAAUAAUUAUUAUUAUUUAUUAU
rnacentral:lncRNA from 1 species